AACCUCCGCAAUGUGAGAAAUCGCGACGGGGGGAUCCCAAGUGCCAUUCUUAACGGGAUGGCUUUUCAUUAGUGUAAAGAGCUUUUGGAAUAAGGGCUGGGCAAGACCGGUGCCAGCCGCCGCGGUAACACCGGCGGCUCUAGUGGUAGCAGUUUUUAUUGGGCCUAAAGCGCCCGUAGCCGGUUUAAUAAGUCUCUGGUGAAAUCCUGUAGCUUAACUGUGGGAAUUGCUGGAGAUACUAUUAGACUUGAGACCGGGAGAGGUUAGAGGUACUCCCAGGGUAGAGGUGAAAUUCUGUAAUCCUGGGAGGACCGCCUGUUGCGAAGGCGUCUAACUGGAACGGUUCUGACGGUGAGGGACGAAAGUUAGGGGCGCGAACCGGAUUAGAUACCCGGGUAGUCCUAACUGUAAACGAUGCGGACUUGGUGUUGGGGUGGCUUUGAGCUGCUCCAGUGCCGAAGGGAAGCUGUUAAGUCCGCCGCCUGGGAAGUACGGUCGCAAGACUGAAACUUAAAGGAAUU
rnacentral:rRNA from 1 species